GAUGAACGCUGGCGGCGUGCCUAAUACAUGCAAGUCGAGCGAACAGACGAGGAGCUUGCUCCUCUGACGUUAGCGGCGGACGGUUGAGUAACACGUGGAUAACCAACCUAUAAGACUGGUAUAACUUCGGGAAACCGGAGCUAAUACCGGAUAAUAUAUUGAACCACAUGGUUAAAUAGUGAAAGACGGCUUUGCUGUCACUUAUAGAUGGAUCCGCGCCGCAUUAGCUAGUUGGUAAGGUAACGGCUUACCAAGGCGACGAUGCGUAGCCGACCUGAGAGGGUGAUCGGCCACACUGGGACUGAGACACGGUCCAGACUCCUACGGGAGGCAGCAGUAGGGAAUCUUCCGCAAUGGGCGAAAGCCUGACGGAGCAACGCCGCGUGAGUGAUGAAGGUCUUCGGAUCGUAAAACUCUGUUAUUAGGGAAGAACGAGUGUGUAAGUAACUAUGCACGUCUUGACGGUACCUAAUCAGAAAGCCACGGCUAACUACGUG
rnacentral:rRNA from 1 species